UUUAAAUAUUAAUCAAAUUAAUUGCUGCAAUGUUUGAUAUUUUAACGCCGUUGUGGUUUUGUUCAGUUGUAGUGUUUGCCUUAUAAAAAAUGGAUGUUAUUUAUCUAAUCGAAGGCGUUGUUGACGACAUGGCUGCCUAAUUGUGUUUAACUUGGUAACUAUAUAUCAAAUAUCAGUGGACGGGGUUCAAAGUAAAUGGAGCACUUCCAAUAAACAAAAACACGGCUGCUAUCUCUUACGUAGCAUUCAGCACAACCCCAAAUCUUAGAACUGCAAAACCACAUGGCCUUGUCUUCACCAUGGUAACCAGAGGUUCCAAACAGCCUUAACAAAAAGCAGGAAACCAAUCAGACGAAAACAUGGAACUAUUCUUGGCCCGGUGAUGAAAAGGGGGCGUGGCAGACCUAAAAAGGGAACAAUUCCGCCCCCUGUCUGUGGUCAAUGAUCAGGGACAGAUUGUAUAUCGAUGUGAAACAUGUAGGGCAGAGGUCAAGACAUACCAUGAUUUACUAGAACACAUGCGACGUCAUUCCGGACAGCGGCCAUUUACGUGUGAUAUUUGUGGGAAGGCAUUCACAACCAAGGGAAGCAUGCA